AGAAGACGAAUAAGCCAAAGUGACGAGAGUGGGAGAAGAGAGACGACGGCUGUGUGACUGUAAUCGGAAAAAGGGUUACGCUUAGAGCAUCAAUAUUGCGGUCUCGUGGAGUUUUUAAGAUAAUUAGUAAUUAAAAAAAAUGAAAAAUUGAUGUAAAUUGAAGACACGUAUCCUGAUUAAGAGAAUUAAGGAAUCCUUGACGGCGAACGACGAAAAUAGGGCUGGGGUAAUGACGACGGAUCGUGAGACGGUGAGGAAUCGAGGGGAGGGGAGAUCGGAUUGGGAUUCGAUCGGGGUUAGGGUUUUGCAGGGUUAUUGAGAGGGAAUAAGAGAAGAUGAAGAUGCGGCGUGUUCCUUGUACAGCCUACAUGCCCACCUGCUAAUGAAAUCCUUAUGGAACUGCUCGUUAUGAUUGACGCCUGUCGUAGAGCAUCUCCCAAGACCAUCACGGCUGUGAUUCCUUUGGCUAUGCUCGAGCUGAUAGAAAGGCAAGUCCUUUAUGCUUGUACUAUUAGAAUUUGCCUUGGAAUCAAUCUUCUUCCUACAUUGGUAGCUUAGUUCUCUGCUUGAAGCUGAUUUGAGUUUGUCUAUUAGUUUCUAGUUGAUGGCUAACAGAGUUUUUCAUAUGACCCUUCUGUUCUGCAUAUUCUUGGUGGAGUCGCAAGGGCUUGCGCAUUUGCCAUUCUCUAAAGUUCUUGUUGGUCAUUCUGAUUAUGAAGUGACGGGAGGGAGUAUUGUAUUUUAAGGACAUGUUGGUUUCUUUUCUUCUGCUUUCUUUCACUUGUUAUGUCUUGCACACAAAAAAAAACAAAGAAAGAGGUAAAGAGUAAGAGAGCACAGAAGGAAGUUUGCAACUCAAGCUCGAGGAUGGGUGCGGUUUAUAGUUUGAUUGUGAGGGAAGAGGAGAUUCUGAUGGAGCAGAGGAAGAGGGAGUGUGGUGGUUGUGGGUUUGUGGUGAGGAAGGAGAGAGAUGAAGAUAUUGAGCUCGUUGUGCCUCUUGUUUUCAGCUUAUGUACAAAGGUAUUAUGUUUCAUCACUUCAUGUCAUGAUCAUUUUAUUGCUAUGUCUAGGGAUUUUAUAGUUCUUUAGUUGAGCAGCUUUCAUGAAAGUGAUAAUCCAUAAA